rnacentral:rRNA from 1 species
ACGGUCCUAAGGUAGCGAAAUUCCUUGUCGGGUAAGUUCCGACCUGCACGAAUGGCAUAAUGAUGGCCAGGCUGUCUCCACCCGAGACUCAGUGAAAUUGAAAUCGCCGUGAAGAUGCGGUGUACCCGCGGCUAGACGGAAAGACCCCGUGAACCUUUACUAUAGCUUGACACUGAACAUUGAAUUUUGAUGUGUAGGAUAGGUGGGAGACUUUGAAGUAGUCACGCCAGUGAUUAUGGAGUCGACCUUGAAAUACCACCCUUUAACGUUUGAUGUUCUAACGAAGAUUGCGAAACGUGGUCUCGGACAGUGUCUGGUGGGUAGUUUGACUGGGGCGGUCUCCUCCCAAAGAGUAACGGAGGAGCACGAAGGUUUGCUAAUGACGGUCGGACAUCGUCAGGUUAGUGCAAUGGUAUAAGCAAGCUUAACUGCGAGACAGACAAGUCGAGCAGGUACGAAAGUAGGUCAUAGUGAUCCGGUGGUUCUGAAUGGAAGGGCCAUCGCUCAACGGAUAAAAGGUACUCCGGGGAUAACAGGCUGAUACCGCCCAAGAGUUCAUAUCGACGGCGGUGUUUGGCACCUCGAUGUCGGCUCAUCACAUCCUGGGGCUGAAGUAGGUCCCAAGGGUAUGGCUGUUCGCCAUUUAAAGUGGUACGCGAGCUGGGUUUAGAACGUCGUGAGACAGUUCGGUCCCUAUCUGCCGUGGGCGUUGGAGAAUUGGUUGGGGCUGCUCCUAGUACGAGAGGACCGGAGUGGACGCACCACUGGUGUUCCGGUUGUGUCGCCAGACGCAUUGCCGGGUAGCUAAGUGCGGAAGAGAUAAGUGCUGAAAGCAUCUAAGCACGAAACUUGCCAAGAGAUGAGUUCUCCCAGAUUUAAAAUCUGUAAGGGUUGUUUAAGACUAAGACGUAGAUAGGCAUGGUGUGUAAGCGGUGCGAGCCGUUGAGCUAACAUGUACUAAUUGCCCGAGAGGCUUAACUAU